rnacentral:misc_RNA from 1 species
UGAUAAUGUAAAGUAACAAGAUAUUGAAGAUUAUAUUUAUUUUCAGAAAUCAUGGUUUGAUCCUUUCCCUCCUCUGCACAUUGGAAGGAACCAUGGAACAGAACCUGGAGUCGAGCCUAGUUAGUUUAGUGAACCUAGAUACACAGGUUCGGAGGAAGAGUAGAUCUAAUGUUCCGAACCCCCUGGAGUUAGGUCCAGGGAAAAGAUAUCCUAAACUACUCCUAGGAUUAUGCGUCCUAACCUUUAUAUUCAUGAUCAGCUGGAUAUCUUCUUUAUCAGUUAAACACAAGGGUCCUUUAGCCUAUGUUUGGCCAACUAAUCAAACCCGAGAUACAAGUGCAUAUAUUCAUCCUUCAACCAUAUCUACCAUUAUUCAACCUAAGAUCUGUAACAGUUCUGAUCCCACUUCAUUUCCAUAUCUUCUGAUAAUAGUGUGUAGUGGACUACAGAAUAUAGAUGCUAGAACUGCAAUUAGGGGUUCCUGGGGACUGGAGGCGAAUACGAUGAAGAACGUGAAGGUUGUGUUCCUGGUUGGACAAGGGGAGAACAGAACAUACCAGGAGGAGAUAGAACAAGAAGCUCGUCUUCAUCAGGAUAUUAUUCAGGAGGUAUUUCUUGACACCUACGCCAACCUUACUAUUAAGUCUGUGAUGUUAUUGAAGUGGUUUAACAAUACCUGUGAUAUUUCUGCAAAGUUAAGAACUGAAUAUGUUCUGAAGACAGAUGACGACAUGUACAUAAACGUCCGGAAACUGUACGAAUUAGCGCAGGCCAACCGGAAACCCAAUCUUCUAGUCGGCAGCUUAAUCUGUAAUGCAGUUCCUAUCAAGGACCCGCACAACAAGUGGUUCGUCCCAACCUAUAUGUUUAAGGAGAAGAAGUUUCCCAAUUAUCUGAGUGGAACAGGAUAUCUAAUGCAACGAGAAGUUGCGCGCAAACUUUACGCGGCAUCCUUGGAAACUCCACUUUUCCACCUAGAGGAUAUCUACCUCACGGGAAUACUUUCCAGGAGUAUAGGUGUGCGUCCUGAGGAUCAUAUAGGAUUCUCCUACUCUAAGAGAGCUCUGAAACCUUGUCUCUUCAAGCAGGUCAUCUCAUCCCACCAGGUCACACCCAACCAGUUGAUGACAAUGCAUGUGAAACUUCAGGAUAAAAGAUUGGAUAAGUGUGCUUUGCUCACGAAGAAGCAGUUAAGGAAUUACGGGCCAGUGAAAUGUGUCUGGCCGAAAUAAGGAACCUAAUUUUUUUUAUGAGUAUAUAGAAAAUAUCUAAAUAUUCUGAGCUUGGAAAAUAUCAAUGAUUGUUUCCCGGCUAAAUUUUGCAUCGUGUACUUAUACAAUCCUUAAAGAAAGUCAAAGAAGGCUCAAAACUUGUAAUUAGUAACGGUAUUGCGUCACAAAAUUGAUUCUGUAUCCUUGUCGCAAUUAUUACUGCGCCAUAUAUGUCAAUGAGUAUGAAUUGAGUAUUUUUUCCAUCUUUUCAAUUGCCAAGCGACCCCCACCCCCUUCUCUGGGAGAGAAAGUAGUUGCUACAUUAUCAAAAAUAUUUUCGUCUCAGCUCAACAAAAUCUUAUCAAUGUAUUGUGAUACUAAAUGAAAAUGAAUUCGUCAUUCUUUCAAGAGACUGACAAGAAAAAGUGACCCUUUAUUUAAUGAGUAUAUCAUUAACGAAUCACAACUGGCUUUUUAAGCCUUUGAAAAUCUGCAAAUUUACAGUUUUUAACUACGAACCUUCUUAUAUUCGAGG